rnacentral:rRNA from 1 species
AUGCAGCACGUGGCAUCAGGCGGCAACCAUGUACCUGCCAUCAACGUCGUACACAGGUUGUUACGGUGGAACCACAUCGGCAAAUGUCUCAUGGCAAGCUUCACAGUUGCAGGACAGCGCUAUUGCAGAUAUAGCACAUCAAAUUGGAAUGACAUACCAUAUAAGAUCGGCACAUGCGGCACAACAAGCUGCCAUGACUGGAGAACUACAGUUGCCAUGCAUGGCCAUAUGCAGAUUCACGGCUUAAUGUGACCUUCAACUACAAUCAACAACGGCGUGGGGACAUCUACUGCGGGGAGCUCCGAGCACACGGAGGACGCGUUCCACCAGCCAGCCAACAACCAUGACACAAACAAUGCCAAGUCAGUGUCGAAAAUGGCAAUCGUUCCAGCAAUGUCGACAAGCACACCUUUGCACACCAGCACAAGCAACGCUCAAACACAUGAAACAACCGCCGAUACUGAAGUGAAUGAUGAAACUGAUGACGAAGCACAAGAGGAUGAAGAUGGUGGGCAAUCAGAAAUCAUGGUACCUCAGCCACCGUAUGUUGGGCAGAGAUUUGAUUCGUUUGAAGAUGCAAAGGAAUUCUACCAGACAUAUGCAAAGUUCCAUGGGUUUGCGGUCAACACCGAAUACCAUAGGAAAAUUAAAAAAACUAACGAGUAUAGCAGAGGUGAGAUGAGGUGCUACAAGGCACGAAGGAACAAGAAGGGGAAAGGUGUUGCGCCUAUCGUUACGGAACGAAAGAGAGAUAUCAUUGUCAAGACGGAAUGCCCUAUCCGGUGUAAGCUGAACGUAGAUGGAGCACGGUGGGUGGUCACUGAAUAUUUUGACGAGCACAACCACGAACUCAUAAAGAAGUUUGACCUGGUAAAAUUGCUGACCGCCCACAGAGGAUUCACCCCCCUCGAGAAGAAAUUCAUAAAGCUGCUACAUGAUUGUAACGUCGGUCCAUCAAGAAUGGUCCAGAUACUAUCCCUCAUCCACAGCAGAAAUGGGACUCUGAGUAGCAUGCCCUACAUACCGGCAGACGUCACAAACCUAAAGGCAAAGUACCAUAGAGAGAGCAGGAUAAGAUUGGACGAUGAGGACCGUGUCAGGAACAUGUAUUGGGUGGAUGGUGCUGCAAGAAGAGCCUACAAACAUUUCCGAGAUUGCAUUUCGUUCGACGCAACAUAUCUCACUAAUAUGUACAAGAUGCCAUGCGUUCCAUUCAUAGGCAUAAAUAACCACAAUCAGUCAUUGCAGUUUGGAUGCGGGCUCGUUCGGAAUGAAGACACGGAUGGGUACACUUGGCUGUUCAAGACCUUCUUGGAGUGCAUGGGUGGACUUGCUCCGAUGAACAUAAUAACAGACCAGGAUUUUAGCAUGCGUGCAGGCAUAGAGGAGGUCUUUCCGUUGGCAGUGCAUAGGCACUGCAGGUGGCACAUUAUGAAGAAGGCUGAGGAGACGCUAGGACCAUUCUUUGCUGAUCGUCCAGAGCUGCACAAGGCAUUCGAGCUGUGCGUGGACCACAGCUUGACGGUGGAGGAGUUUGAAAGGAGCUGGAUGGCUAUGAUUGAAACAUAUCAAGUGCAAGACAACGAGACACUUGCUAGCCUGUGGGAGAAGCGAAUGUACUGGGUGCCGGCCUACUUCAUGCAGUGCUUCUUCCCGUUUCUGCAGACUACGCAGCACAGCGAGGGGUUCAAUGCUGUUUUGAAGCAGUACGUGAGCCCUGGCAACUCAUUGCUGCAGUUUGCCAAGCAAUACUCCGCUUUGCAACAAAAAAUACUGGAUCUGAGCUAUAGCAAGAAGCAAACACCGCGCUCAAGUAGCCAAAAUUGCUAA